UAAAUACUCCCGCCGUCCUAAAAUUCUUAUCUUAGAAUUGUCUAGAAAUGGAUGUAUCUAAAUACUAAUACAUGACUAUAUACAUUCAUAUCUAGACAAAUCAAAGACAAGAAUUUUGGGACGGAGGGAGUAUUAC
rfam:Hordeum vulgare subsp. vulgare, WGS project CAJW01000000 data, contig: morex_contig_1575647